rnacentral:lncRNA from 1 species
GGGCCCUUUGCACAGAGUUUGAUCCCGAGCCUGGCAUGCAGACUCCAUCAGACUUGGACCCUCUCAGUGCUGCGGCCGUGCCUUGCCCCGUGAGGCUGACACCCCUCCAGGUCAAGAUGCCACUCUUCCAAGCCCAACAGUGGACUCCAGCCCCACCACCCGGGCUCCCAGCACUAAGUGGUGUCACGUGUUCCGCUUCAUUGGCAGGCUGGCCUGAUGCUUCUUCAUCACAAUCUCCACUCCACAGUGGGCAGGGGUCAAGGUGCCAGAGGCCCUUCCUUGCACCCCAGAGCCCACAGCCACUGGCGACGCAGAGCCUCGCAAUGGCCUUCUCCACAGCUCACUUAGAAGACUGCUCUCUCCUUCAUCCCCUCCUCCUGGACCACACACCUUAGCAGGCAGCUCGGUCACUGACUGCGUCGGUCCCAGAGAGGAGCCCCUCUUCGGUCACCUUGGAAAUGGCCCAGACGAAAGGAUGGGGGUGGGCCUGGGUCGAUCCUUUGGGGAUGUUCAGGAUUUCACCCUGACCCUCCCAGGCAGGUGCUUGUCUUUGCUCCCAGGGGGCCCCCUGGCCAGCCUGGGUGGUCUGCAAGGGGAUCGAGGGGAUGCAAGCGGAACUCGGUCCAGCCACCUGAACUCCCAGGGGACAGUCCUGGCCAUCCAGCCAAGUAUAAUGACUCUUUGCCUGAGGACACCGGCUGCCGGGGGCGGGUGGGGGGCCUGUGGUCCAAAGUGUGGGUGCAGUGGGUCUCCAAACGUUUUGUUUUGUUUUGUUUUGAACAGCUGAGUAUCAACUUAUGAAAACGUUGGACUUAACGAUCUGCCAAGGGGACUUCAACCUCGACCCCGGGUUCGGUACUGAUGGACGACGUCUGCGGAACAAGCUCAGAGGACCCACGCAGGUGCAGGUCAGGGAGUCGCGAGUGGAUCCUCAUCUGAGCACGAUCCCGAGGAUCUGAGCCGUCACCACAGGGAUUCGCAGUCUCGGCGAUUCGCAGUCUCGGCGAUUCGCAGUCUCGGCGGGCAUCCAAACGGGUCCUUUCACUUUGCGCCUCUGCUCAGGUCAGCAGGUACCUUCUCCCAAGACUUCAUGUCGUGGCUGCUGAGGGCGAUUCCUACCUGGGGAUGGCGACCUCCGGCUCCAAGGGAGUCUUUCCAGCCUCUUUAAAAGCCACGGCUGCGGCGCAGCUUCCUGACCGAAUCGUUCUGCAGAGAGAGCCGACAGCAGUGAGUCGGGAGUGGGAGCAGGGGCCCGAGGCGCUGCAGAACUCCCGUUUGUGUAAUUUUUUAAUUUUUAACAUUUAUUUUAUUUUUUUCUUUGUCAGGCCGCACCUGUGGCAUAUGGAAGUUCCCAAGCAAGGGGUCGAAUCGGAGCAUCCAGCCCAUGCCACAGCCACAGCCAGAGCAACAAAGAUCCAAGCUAGGGGUCUAAUCAGAGCUGUAGCCACCGGCCUACGCCAGAGCCACAGCAAUGCAGGAUCUGAGGCACAUCUGCAACCUACACCACAGCUCACAGCAGCGCCGGAUCCUUAACCCACUGAGCGAGGCCAGGGGUCGAACCCACAACCUCAUGGUUCCUAGUGGGAUUCGUUCACCACUGUGCCACGACGGGAACUCCUAGUGUCAUGUCUUAAUGUUUAAGUUUUUCAGCCAUUUUGAGUUUAUUUUGUUGUGUGGGGUGAGGGAAUGUUCUAACUUCAUUGCUUUACAUGAGGCUGUGCAGUUUUCCCAGCACCAGUUGCUAAAGAGACUGUCUUAGCUCCCACUGUGGCUCAGAGGUUAACAAAUCCCACUAGGAACCAUGAGGUUGCAGGUUGGAUCCCUGGCCUCGCUUAGUGGGUUAAGGAUCCGGCGUGGCCGUGAGCUGUGGGGUAGGUCACAGACAUGGCUCGGAUCCUGCAUUGCUGCGGCUGUGGUGUAGGCUGGCAGCAGCUACAGCUCCAAUUGGACCCCCAGCCUUGGAACCUCCCUAUGC